ensembl:lncRNA
GUCAGCCGGGGGUGUGAGGCUGUGUCCGCAGGCUCGGGGGCAGCAUGCCCGCCCCGCCGCUGGCCGCCCCGCUGCUGCGCGCCCUGCUCGUCCGCCUGCUGCCGCUGGCCCGCCGGCGCCUGCUGCCGCCGCUCCGCCGCCUGGGGCGCCGGCUGCGCUCCCGGGAGAGCCGCCAGGCCCUGCUCACCUGCCUGCUCUGCCUCCUCAACCUGCGCAAGAAGGCGGACGACUGAAGCCGACCGGCCACGGGCAAGGACGGGACGGGACGGACCCGGCAGAGCUCGACGGCUCCUCCCGCCCGCCCGGACCGCUGCGGGAGGAGGGACCGGGCAGGGGAGGGGACGCGCCCGGCGGGGGCGGAGGGCCCGCCCAGGCAGCCGAGGCCGGACGGCCGCCCGCGUCUCGCCGCUCCGGUCAUGGUUGCUGGGCCGCCCCCCGCCCCGCUGCCCCCCGGCGCGGAGCCGCUCCGCGGCUGAGUGCCCCCGCCCGCCCCGGGGAAGGAGCCGGCGCUGCACGGGCGAUCUUCAUCACCCGCUCUCGGCCCCACACUGCUGCUUCUCGCCACGGUGCCCGGGCCGGAACCCCCGCUGCCCGCAGCGGGCAGCGGGGAGGGCGAGGAUGUCGGGCAGCACGGAGAGGAAGAUGCAGCCCUUCACCAUCAGCACCAGGCUCUCGCUGCCUAAGUGUGCCGCGGACUUCCCCGGAGACGCCUGCCCCGGCAUCGCCCUCGCCUCCGCGCUGGACAGCCACCGCGGUCUCCGUCGCAGCAUCAACGAGCGCAUCUCCCUCUACCUGGCCCACGCCCGGGCCGGCUCCGCUGCCCCCGCGGGGCAGCCCCGCAACCCCAGCCCCGGUGAGGACGGGGCCACCGACGAGGACCGGCUGAACCGCAGCUCGCUAGCCCGUUCCAUUAAGAAGAUCACGCUGUCCAAUUGGUACGGGGACGCUGGCACGGGAGAGGCAGGGGGACCCGGGGACCCUGCCCACGCCGGCGACGAGAGAAACCACAACAACAACAACAGCAGGACAGGGAAAGCUCAGUUCAAGGUCUUCCUCAGGAAGGAUGUGGAUACAGAGGACAAACAGCAGAAGCCCGGGAGUGUUCAGGCCAGUGUUCACUGCUCUCUGAUGGACAGAUGUUCUCCCUUCUAUGCGGUAUGUCCCCCUGCCCUCAACAUUAAGGGGGCAUGACGGGCAGCUUGGAGCUGAGCAAUGCGGCUGGUAGCUGGUGGUGUGCCCAGGUGUGAAGGGAACCUUGCCUCUUUCAGUGAGUGCAGGAACAAGCUGGGCAUGAUGGGGCAAGGAAUCAGCUCCCCAGGCAGCACCCAGAAGUUUUAUUGCUUCCAAGGGAACCAGAUUAUGGGCUCCUCCAGCCCUGGCUGAGUCAAGUGACUGAAGGUCACAGAGUCGCAGGAGGGCCUGAGAAUCUAUGUUGCUAGAAACAAAACAAAACAACCCAAAAAAAUAACAAAAACAAAAACAACCCCCCCAGAAAAACCAAAACCGAAACAAAAUAAUAAAAAAAAAACAAAACAGAGAAUUUCUGUAGUU